rnacentral:rRNA from 1 species
AUUGAACGCUGGCGGCAUGCUUUACACAUGCCAGUCGAGCGGCAGCACGGGGGCAACCCUGGUGGCGAGCGGCGAACGGGUGAGUAACACAUCGGAACAUGCCCAGUCGUGGGGGAUAACACUUCGAAAGAAGUGCUAAUACCGCAUACGUCCUGAGGGAGAAAGCGGGGGAUCGCAAGACCUCGCGCGAUUGGAGUGGCCGAUGUCAGAUUAGCUAGUUGGUGGGGUAAAGGCCUACCAAGGCAACGAUCUGUAGCUGGUCUGAGAGGAUGAUCAGCCACACUGGGACUGAGACACGGCCCAGACUCCUACGGGAGGCAGCAGUGGGGAAUUUUGGACAAUGGGGGCAACCCUGAUCCAGCCAUGCCGCGUGAGUGAAGAAGGCCUUCGGGUUGUAAAGCUCUUUCGGCAGGAACGAAACGGUGAGCUCUAACAUAGCUUGCUAAUGACGGUACCUGAAAAAGAAGCACCGGCUAACUACGUG